UGGGGAAUAUUGGACAAUGGGCGAAAGCCUGAUCCAGCCAUGCCGCGUGUGUGAAGAAGGUCUUCGGAUUGUAAAGCACUUUAAGUUGGGAGGAAGGGCAGUAAGCGAAUACCUUGCUGUUUUGACGUUACCGACAGAAUAAGCACCGGCUAACUCUGUGCCAGCAGCCGCGGUAAUACAGAGGGUGCAAGCGUUAGUCGGAAUUACUGGGCGUAAAGCGCGCGUAGGUGGUUCGUUAAGUUGAAUGUGAAAGCCCCGGGCUCAACCUAAGCACUGCAUACCAAACUGGCGAGCUAGACUAGGGCAGAGGGUGGGGAAAUUUCCUGUGUAGCGGUGAAGUGCAUAGAUUUGGGAAGGAACACCAGUGGCGAAGGCGACCACCUGGGCUCAUCCUGACACUGAGGUGCGAAAGCGUGGGGAGCAAACAGG
rnacentral:rRNA from 1 species